UCUAUUCAAAGUUGGUGUAGAAUUGUA
rnacentral:sRNA from 1 species